rnacentral:rRNA from 1 species
UACAGAGGUCUCAAGCGUUGUUCGGAUUCAUUGGGCGUAAAGGGUGCGUAGGCGGCGCGGUAAGUCGGGUGUGAAAUCUUGGAGCUUAACUCCGAAACUGCAUUCGAUACUGUCGGGCUAGAGUGUGGAAGGGGCGAUUGGAAUUCCGUGUGUAGCGGUGAAAUGCGUAGAUAUACGGAGGAACACCAGGGGCGAAGGCGGAUCGCUGGGCCAACACUGACGCUGAUGUGCGAAAGCUAGGGGAGCGAACGGG